GACGAACGCUGGCGGCGUGCUUAACACAUGCAAGUCGAGCGGUAAGGCCUUUCGGGGUACACGAGCGGCGAACGGGUGAGUAACACGUGGGUGAUCUACCCUGCACUCUGGGAUAAGCCUGGGAAACUGGGUCUAAUACUGGAUAUGACCUCAGCAUGCAUGUGCUGGGGUGGAAAGCUUUUGUGGUGCAGGAUGGGCCCGCGGCCUAUCAGCUUGUUGGUGGGGUAAUGGCCUACCAAGGCGACGACGGGUAGCCGACCUGAGAGGGUGACCGGCCACACUGGGACUGAGACACGGCCCAGACUCCUACGGGAGGCAGCAGUGGGGAAUAUUGCACAAUGGGCGGAAGCCUGAUGCAGCGACGCCGCGUGAGGGAUGAAGGCCUUCGGGUUGUAAACCUCUUUCAGCAGGGACGAAGCGUGAGUGACGGUACCUGCAGAAGAAGCACCGGCUAACUACGUGCCAGCCGCCGCGGUAA
rnacentral:rRNA from 1 species